ensembl:rRNA 5S_rRNA 5S ribosomal RNA
GCCAGCAGCCAUAUCACCCUGCAGCUCUCAACGGGCUACCCACUGAAGCUAAGCAGGGUUGAGCCUGGCCAGUACCUGCAUGGGAGACCUCCUGGGAAGCUAUGGUUGCUGCUGGAA